CGCCCCGCACCCGCCGCCGCCCGGGCAGUGCGGGGCCGCGGCGCUCUGUGCGCAGCGGCAGUGCGGUCCCCCCCGAAGGCUCCCUGUCGCCUGCGUCCCAAAAGCACGAGGUCAUUCUCUUGUUUCAGCCAGUGAGUGCAACUUCAGAGCUGGGAGAGAGUGAUUGCAAGGAGUGGAAUUACUGGGUAAAAUCACUCGAUGUUUCACUUUUUGAGGAACAACCAGGCUGUUUUCAAAGUGGCUGUACCAUUUUACAUCCCCAUCAGCCAGGCCAAGAAGGAAGGGAGAACAUUCACCACCACAACGUCUCAAAGGGAAUACAUUGCCAGCAUUUUGAAUACUUAUUUGGACAAACCUUUCUUCAAGGAGGACGCAGCCCUCUGCCCCCAUGUCGCCACCUUGGAAGGACUGACCAAAUCCAGCAGCCUGUGCCACUUCCCACCCACCAUGGGACCCGAGGGAAGCUUGCUGAGUGGGGGACAAAUGCAGAUCACCCUGUGGGGAAGCCUGGCAGCUGUGGCCACCUUCUUCCUCAUCACCUUCCUCAUCUUUCUGUGCUCCAGUUGUGACAGAGAAAAGAAGCCGAGACAGCACAGCGGAGACCAUGAGAACCUGAUGAACGUGCCUUCCGACAAGGAGAUGUUCAGCCGUUCAGUUACCAGCCUGGCCACAGACGCGCCUGCCAGCAGCGAACAGAAUGGGGCACUCACCAACGGUGACAUUCUUUCAGAAGACAGCACCGUGACCUGCACGCAGCAUUACGAGGAAGUCCAGACGUCAGCUUCAGAUCUGCUGGACUCCCAGGACAGCACAGGGAAGCCAAAAUGUCAUCAGAGCCGGGAGUUGCCCAGAAUUCCUCCUGAGAGCGACGUGGACACGAUGCUCAAUGGAGAAAGCGCGGACGGGGACCAGGGUCUGGGGAUGGAGGGGCCGUAUGAAGUGCUCAAGGACAGUGCCUCACAAGAAAAUAUGGUGGAGGACUGCUUGUAUGAAACUGUGAAAGAAAUUAAGGAGGUGACGGCCGCCGCCCACUCAGCUGGAGGCCACAGCAGCAGGUCGAAGUCAACUUCCACUGUGAAAGAGCUUCCGGGGCCCCAGGCCAGUGGCAAAACAGACUUUGCCGAAUAUGCCUCCGUGGACAGAAACAGAAAGUGUCGACAAAGCGCUAAUGCAGAGAGUAUUCUUGGAAAUGCAUGGGAUCCAGAGGAGGAGGCGCCACCCCCUGUCCCCAUUAAACUUCUGGAUGAAAAUGAAAACCUUCAGGAACAGGCAGAGAGUAAAACAGGAGAAGAAGGGGCCGCCGAGGGGACCAGUGAAGCCAACAAGAGAUUUAGUUCGUUGUCAUACAAGUCCCGGGAAGAAGACCCAACUCUCACAGAAGAAGAGAUCUCGGCAAUGUAUUCAUCAGUACAUAAAAAAGGACAGCCAGGGAACAAAUCAGGACAGUCACUCAAAGCACCAGAGUCCACCUAUACCUCCAUCCAAGGAGCCGCUCUGAGGUCGCCCUCUUCCUGUAACGAUCUCUAUGCUACUCUUAAAGACUUGGAGAAAAUUCCCAACAGUGUCAGCACUCUUCCAGCAGCAGGGAGGCCCAACGGCGAGGAGCCCGAACCAGAUUACGAAGCAAUACAGACCCUAAACAGAGAGGAAGAGAAGGCUGCCCCGGAGACCAACAGCCACCACGGCCUUUUCCCAAAGGAGAAUGACUACGAGAGCAUCAGGGACCUGCAGCAAUGCCGAGACAUCACCAGGCUCUAGCAGCCCGGAAGACAACCCAGCUAGCAUAGGACCAGCCGGCAGGGCCAGUGCUGUUGCAGAACACAAGAAGCAGUGUCAGCCACACUGCAUAUGCUGCUUCCGGAAAAGGAAGAUGACUGGAGAUGCCGAAACCGCUUCUCAGUUUGGAGAACAGUGAGGUACACACCCUACUGCCAGGGCACGGGCACACCCAAGCACACCUCCCUCAUAUACCCACACCCUCUGGAAGGAUCCCAGCUGUCAGUGGUCUCACCCUCUUUGUGAAGAAAGCCACACAGUAAGGAAGAAAAGCACUCAUCCGAAACCACCGCUCACCUGCCUGAAGCACUGCCACUCCCAGGGGCCGGGUUUCUCUCCCCUCUCUCCCCUUUCUGCUGCCUGCUACUAACGGUAAAAUGAAUGGCUUUUUUCCCCUUGAAAUCUUCCAAUUUAUAAUGGUUCAUUCCAAGGAUAUUCUCCCACCAGCCUGGCCUUUGCCUUCAACGUGGGUGUUUUUCAAUGGUAAGAAAUUGUGGUUGCUGCUUCCCUACCGCUCCCCAGUCCUCUUCAAGCAGCUGCCCCUGGGAACCGGGACCGGCCAGUGGAUAGGAUUGGAGAUGCCCCUUGAGCUUCUUAGCUCUUCAUUCCUUCUGAUUCGGGCAGUCCAUGUCAGCAGCCUCUCCCAAAGUACUUGAAGUCAUUGUUAGAUGCUUUAUUUUAUUUUUAUAGUCAAAAUGGUUUUUUCCCCAGUAUUUGAAACUCUUCAGAGCCUUCAAUGAAUAUCGUGGUACUUCCAUACUUCUUUUAGCCCAGAGCUCAUUCCUCCAAAACAGAGAGCCUUAAUCUCUAUGUUGGGACACAGACCACAUGUUUGGAUGGCAGCCACGGCUUCCAUUUCCCAAGGGCUGUGAACUUGAAUGUGUAUUUCUGAUGACCCCCGCUGCCACACCAGCCGUGCGGGAUUUCAUACAUGAACUGCUCCCCUAAGUAUCACAGACCCGGCCUGGCAGCAUGGAAACCGUUCCCCAGCACCUCCUGGCAUGAAGACAGCUCUGCCCAGCUCACGUUUGGGCUAUCUCGAUAAGGCACAGAUCCACCUGGGGAAGCAGAUGCUGGGUGUUAUUUGCCAUGAACUUUGCUAAACCGUGUACACUCUUGCCCACAUCUUUCGUGAGAAUGGUUGGCACUAAGAAGCCAUGGAGAAGAACUUUUUAAAAAUUCUGUUGAGGACUCAGACUCACAAAUGCAGAAAAAUGAGCACUGUGCUCUAACCAGGUAAGCCCACAGGUCCCCUACAAGGUAUUGAGAUUGGAGGGAAAUCCCUGGAACAGCAGACCAAUAACUACCCAUAAAGUAGAAGGGCACUGAUUAUUUUGAGAGGGGGAAAAAAAAAACAAACAAACUCUUUCCUGUAAGAAUUAAUCACUUCUAGAGUAAAUUAUGUGUAACAUUUCUUAGCCAUGUAGCUAUUGCACCCCAUCCCCUGAGAAACAGUGCUUAUGAGUUACGUGAGUUAUAACUAGUUUGAGCUCCUCUCCAGGUCUCAAGGAAAUGAGAACGUUCAAGCAUCUAACUCUGGAGUUACCAGAUGUUGAACAUAACUUGGCCAUUUAUAGGCAAAAUCCCUGAUGUUUGGUGAUGUUAGGUGAUCCAGUGGCUGAGGGUCUCACGUUCUGCACACCUGAGGAUCCAGGAUGUGUUUAGUUUUGAUUUUUUUUAACCUUCACUCUCAUCAUAGCUUAUUUGAAUGGGUAUUCUAGAGUGUAAUAUUUUUUUCCAAAUUAACAGAACAGAUAUGUUCAUUCUCAGUAUACAUUUAAUUCUUAAAAACCUAUCUAGUAUAUCAGUUAGGCACCCUUCACAGGACAGUUAAGGCUAAAACAGAGAGACCAGUCUUGUCCCCUGGAGCCUGCAUUUCAGAACCGACUUGUUGCAACGUCUGGUUUUAUUUUGUUUUGUUUGUUUUUUUAACUCAACAAGUGGGAAACAAUGAGUGUAAACAAACUCUUUCCUUUUCCGUUUUUAAGCUUAAGGAGAAAAAGAAAUGUAAUUUUAGCUCCUCAUUUAGGUAGUAAAGGCUUCCCUGACAGACAGCAGUGCCUUUCCCUAGGCGAAGAGACUAGAACCGAAGGCCUGAGUCGGUCUUUGAACAGUCCUUUGACAAGUUUUUAUGUAUUUUUAAUGUCAAACCCAUAGAUGAACCUGACAUGAUGAUCAUGACCCAUCCAGUAAGUGUGCUUGCUUUCUUCGCAUUCAUGCUUUUAAAUAUAAGCUUCUCUGUCUUUCCUGAGCCGCGCUCGAAACUUAACUCCUGUGGGCCCCUCCACGGCUGCCUCCUGACGUCCUGGAGGUUUGGCGGCACCAUCAGCAGUGCUUUGCUCUCAGGGAGAAGCUCGCGGAACGUGUUGGGAAAGUUGAAUUUUACAUCCACGUCAACAGGCGUUUGAAAGAGUCCUGUAUGCCUCAGAUUUUUGACCCUUCUUAAAAUUUUUUCUUUAUUUUUUUUCUGAGUACCAACUACAUAUUUGAUUCUCAGGGGGUGGGUAGGGCAGGAAUUAGAAGUAAAAUUUGAACUAAGUGAUGUGGGAAAGACUUCCUGCCCCUGUGUGUGUGACUCUGGAAAAUAUUUUAUUCCAAUGCCCUGCCUACCACUCUGAGUCUCUUGAGAAGCACACCGUAAAUGUAUAUAAGAUUGAGAAAGAAUAUCUCAAAGACUUAAAUUAUUGUUUAGGUAUUUUUUUCUUUGUAAACUCAGGAAUAAACCUGGUUUGUGCGUGGCAGAAUAUGGCUACCAAAGCUAUAAUUUGUAGGUAACUAGGUGCAUUCUUUCAAAUAUAUUUCAUUCUAACUUUUUUAAAAACUGGGGAAAGAAACUCCUAGUAAUGAAAAAACAAAACCAACAAGAGACUUCCAUAAACUCUUUCUAGAAGAACAUAGUAUCAGUCUAACCUCUGCCCCAGAGUGUUUGUUUCUUGCCUAUAGUAUUUCAACAAUUUUUAUGGGAGAAAAAAAUGCACGUUUUUAUGUCUUGGAAAAAUGAACUGAAGUAUUGAAUUAAAUUCUCAGAGGGGACAAUUUAGUUUAAAGAGAAGCAUUGGUUUUGGAGAUCAACUCAUGGCUCUGUGGUCCCCGUUCCAGCACUGACUUUACUGUGUGACCUUGAGCAAAUGAUUAACUACUCUGUGCCUCAGUUUCUCCAUAUACAAAAUGGGGAUAAUGAUACCAACCAUUGCCUACCUCAUAGGGAUGUUAUGGGGACAAAUGAGAUAAUAUAAAUACAAAUGCUUUGAAUUCUGUAAGAAAGGUGCUAUAUAAGUUGAAAUUGUGUUGUUUUUAGUGAUCCAAUUAUUAAUUAUGUUUAGGGUUUAAAUAAUAGCAAUACUGUUAGUCAUGUUAAGAAUAAGUUUCAACUUGAUUCAUAUUUACAAUUCUCUUCUGUGGCCAGAUCUUGAUCAUUUAUCCAGUAAUGGUACCUAAGGAACUGAAACGGAUAUUUGUUUUCUGUGUAUUUUUGCCCAUAGUAUUUCUACGCUGAAUGUUCCCAAAAGGCUGGAGUUCAACUUGUCCUAUCUUAUAGUUUACAUGUAAUGAACCUUACUCAAGCUGUAUAUAAAAGUAUAAUUACAUGUAAAUAGCAGGUGCAUUGUAAUUAAAGGCACUUAUCAACUUGUCUUUGUUCUUUUUUAAUUGCAAUAAAGUUCAGUUUUACAUAAAA